AGAACGAACGCUGGCAGCAUGCCUAACACAUGCAAGUCGAACGCGUGUAGCGAUACACGAGUGGCGGACGGGUGAGUAACGCGUGGGAACCUGCCCUGGAGUGUGGGAUAACCGAGGGAAACUUCGGCUAAUACCGCAUACGACCUGAGGGUGAAAGAUUUAUCGCUCUAGGAGGGGCCCGCGUCGGAUUAGCUAGUUGGUGGGGUAAAGGCCUACCAAGGCAGUGAUCCGUAGCUGGUCUGAGAGGAUGAUCAGCCACACUGGGACUGAGACACGGCCCAGACUCCUACGGGAGGCAGCAGUGGGGAAUAUUGGACAAUGGGGGCAACCCUGAUCCAGCAAUGCCGCGUGAGUGAUGAAGGCCUUAGGGUUGUAAAGCUCUUUCGCGCGCGACGAUGAUGACGGUAGCGCGAGAAGAAGCCCCGGCUAACUUCGUGCCAGCAGCCGC
rnacentral:rRNA from 1 species